rnacentral:rRNA from 1 species
GAUUAACGCUGGCGGCGUGCCUAACACAUGCAAGUCGAGCGGCAGCGAGUUUUACACUGACUUCUGGAAGCUUCUAGUUGAAAGAGAAGAUUUAUUCAAGAAUUUUGUGUAAAAUGUCGGCGAGCGGCGGACGGCUGAGUAACGCGUGGGAACGUACCCCAAAGUGAGGGAUAACGCAUCGAAAGGUGUGCUAAUACCGCAUAUGGUCUUCGGAUUAAAGCCUUCGGGCGCUUUGGGAACGGCCUGCGUAAGAUUAGAUAGUUGGUGGGGUAAUGGCCUACCAAGUCGACGAUCUUUAACUGGUUUGAGAGGAUGAUCAGUCAGACUGGAACUGAGACACGGUCCAGACUCCUACGGGAGGCAGCAGUGAGGAAUCUUCCACAAUGGGCGAAAGCCUGAUGGAGCAACGCCGCGUGCAGGAUGAAGGCCUUCGGGUUGUAAACUGCUUUUAUAAGUGAGGAUUAUGACAGUAACCUAUGAAUAAGGAUCGGCUAACUACGUG